GACGAACGCUGGCGGCGUGCCUAAUACAUGCAAGUAGAACGCACAGUUUAUACCGUAGCUUGCUACACCAUACACUGUGAGUUGCGAACGGGUGAGUAACGCGUAGGUAACCUGCCUGGUAGCGGGGGAUAACUAUUGGAAACGAUAGCUAAUACCGCAUAAUAUUGAUUAUUGCAUGAUAAUUGAUUGAAAGAUGCUGUUGCAUCACUACCAGAUGGACCUGCGUUGUAUUAGCUAGUAGGUGAGGUAACGGCUCACCUAGGCGACGAUACAUAGCCGACCUGAGAGGGUGAUCGGCCACACUGGGACUGAGACACGGCCCAGACUCCUACGGGAGGCAGCAGUAGGGAAUCUUCGGCAAUAGACGAAAGUCUGACCGAGCAACGCCGCGGGAGUGAAGAAGGGUGUCGGAUCGUAAAGCUCGGUUGUAAGAGAAGAACGGGUGUGAGAGUGGAAAGUUCACACUGUGACGGUAGCUUACCAGAAAGGGACGGCUAACUACGUG
rnacentral:rRNA from 1 species